CAGCGUGUAACUUAAUAGCAAAGUACCUCCCUUACACUGAGAAGAUGUCCGUGCAACCCAGACCACCCUGA
rnacentral:tRNA from 1 species